GACAGAGGGUGCAAACGUUGUUCGGAAUUACUGGGCGUAAAGCGCGUGUAGGCUGCUUCGCAAGUCGGGUGUGAAAGCCCUGGGCUCAACCUAGGAAGUGCACUCGAAACUGCGAAGCUAGAGUCCUGGAGAGGAAGGCGGAAUUCUCGGUGUAGAGGUGAAAUUCGUAGAUAUCGAGAGGAACACCGGUGGCGAAGGCGGCCUUCUGGACAGUGACUGACGCUGAGACGCGAAAGCGUGGGGAGCAAACAGG
rnacentral:rRNA from 1 species